AACGCUGGCGGCGUGCUUAAUACAUGCAAGUCGAACGGACCCAAGUCUUAGUUACUAUAGACGAAAGGUUAGUGGCGGACGGGUGAGUAACGCGUGGGUAAUCUGCCCCUAAGUCUGGGAUAACAGAGCGAAAGUUCUGCUAAGACCGGAUACACUUCUCUAAUUGCAUAAUAGGAGAAGGAAAGGAAACGCUUAGGGAUGAGCCCGCGUCCCAUUAGCUAGUUGGUGAGGUAACGGCCCACCAAGGCAACGACGGGUAGCCGGCCUGAGAGGGUGACCGGCCACACUGGGACUGAGACACGGCCCAGACUCCUACGGGAGGCAGCAGUAGGGAAUUUUCCGCAAUGGGCGCCAAGCCUGACGGAGCAACGCCGCGUGAGGGAAGAAGGUCUUCGGAUCGUAAACCUUUGUCAUCGAGGACGAUAAUGACGGUACUCGAGGAGGAAGCCCCGGCUAACUACGUGCCAGCCGCCGC
rnacentral:rRNA from 1 species